CUUCGGAAGAGAGAGAGCGGCGUACGGGUGCGUAACACGUGUGCAACCUACCUUUAUCUGGGGGAUAGCCUUUCGAAAGGAAGAUUAAUACCCCAUAAUAUAAUUGAUGGCAUCAUUGAUUAUUGAAAACUCCGGUGGAUAGAGAUGGGCACGCGCAAGAUUAGAUAGUUGGUGAGGUAACGGCUCACCAAGUCUGUGAUCUUUAGGGGUCCUGAGAGGGAGAUCCCCCACACUGGUACUGAGACACGGACCAGACUCCUACGGGAGGCAGCAGUGAGGAAUAUUGGACAAUGGGUGAAAGCCUGAUCCAGCCAUCCCGCGUGAAGGAUGACGGUCCUAUGGAUUGUAAACUUCUUUUGUACAGGGAUAAACCUACUCUCGUGAGGGUAGCUGAAGGUACUGUACGAAUAAGCACCGGCUAACUCCGUGCCAGCAGCCGCGGUAAUACGGAGGGUGCAAGCGUUAUCCGGAUUUAUUGGGUUUAAAGGGUCCGUAGGCGGACCUGUAAGUCAGUGGUGAAAUCUCAUAGCUUAACUAUGAAACUGCCAUUGAUACUGCGGGUCUUGAGUAAAUUUGAAGUGGCUGGAAUAAGUAGUGUAGCGGUGAAAUGCAUAGAUAUUACUUAGAACACCAAUUGCGAAGGCAGGUCACUAAGAUUUAACUGACGCUGAUGGACGAAAGCGUGGGUAGCGAACAGGAUUAGAUACCCUGGUAGUCCACGCCGUAAACGAUGCUAACUCGUUUUUGGAUUUUCGGAUUCAGAGACCAAGCGAAAGUGAUAAGUUAGCCACCUGGGGAGUACGUCCGCAAGGAUGAAACUCAAAGGAAUUGACGGGGGCCCGCACAAGCGGUGGAUUAUGUGGUUUAAUUCGAUGAUACGCGAGGAACCUUACCAAGACUUAAAUGGGAAUUGACAGGUUUAGAAAUAGACCCUUCUUCGGACAAUUUCAAGGUGCUGCAUGGUUGUCGUCAGCUCGUGCCCUGAGGUGUUAGGUUAAGUCCUGCACCUAGCGCAACCCCUGUCACUAGUUGCUAACAUUUAGUUGAAGACUCUAGUG
rnacentral:rRNA from 2 species